rnacentral:rRNA from 1 species
UACGGGAGGCAGCAGUGGGGAAUAUUGCACAAUGGGCGCAAGCCUGAUGCAGCCAUGCCGCGUGUAUGAAGAAGGCCUUCGGGUUGUAAAGUACUUUCAGUCGUGAGGAAGGUGUUAAGGUUAAUAACCUUAGCAAUUGACGUUAGCGACAGAAGAAGCGCCGGCUAACUACGUGCCAGCAGCCGCGGUAAUACGUAGGGCGCAAGCGUUGUCCGGAAUUAUUGGGCGUAAAGAGCUCGUAGGCGGUUUUGUCGCGUCUGCUGUGAAAGCCCGGGGCUUAACCCCGGGUGUGCAGUGGGUACGGGCAGACUAGAGUGCAGUAGGGGAGACUGGAAUUCCUGGUGUAGCGGUGGAAUGCGCAGAUAUCAGGAGGAACACCGAUGGCGAAGGCAGGUCUCUGGGGCUGUUACUGACGCUGAGGAGCGAAAGCAUGGGGAGCGGAACAGGGAAUUAAGAUAAC